rnacentral:rRNA from 1 species
AUUGAACGCUGGCGGCAGGCCUAACACAUACCAGUCGAGCGGAUGAAGGGAGCUUGCUCCUGGAUUCAGCGGCGGACGGGUGAGUAAUGCCUAGGAAUCUGCCUGGUAGUGGGGGAUAACGUCCGGAAACGGGCGCUAAUACCGCAUACGUCCUGAGGGAGAAAGUGGGGGAUCUUCGGACCUCACGCUAUCAGAUGAGCCUAGGUCGGAUUAGCUAGUUGGUGGGGUAAAGGCCUACCAAGGCGACGAUCCGUAACUGGUCUGAGAGGAUGAUCAGUCACACUGGAACUGAGACACGGUCCAGACUCCUACGGGAGGCAGCAGUGGGGAAUAUUGGACAAUGGGCGAAAGCCUGAUCCAGCCAUGCCGCGUGUGUGAAGAAGGUCUUCGGAUUGUAAAGCACUUUAAGUUGGGAGGAAGGGCAGUAAGUUAAUACCUUGCUGUUUUGACGUUACCAACAGAAUAAGCACCGGCUAACUUCGUG